rnacentral:rRNA from 1 species
GAUGAACGCUGGCGGCGUGCUUAACACAUGCAAGUCGAACGAUGAAGCCAGGCUUGUUGGGUGGAUUCGUGGCGAACGGGUGAGUAACACGUGAGUAAACUGCCCUUAACUCUGGGAUAAGCCUGGGAAACUGGGUCUAAUACAGGCUAGGAGAGCCUACCGCACGGUGGGUGUUGGAGAGAUUUAUCGGUUUUGGAUGGACUCGCGGCCUAUCCGCUUGUUGGUGAGGUAAUGGCUCACGAAGGCCACGACGGGUCGACGGCCCGGGAAGGUGACGGGCCACACUAGGACUACGGCACGGCCCAGUCUCCUACGGGAGGCAGCGGUGGAAAAUAUUGCACAAUAGGCGAGAGCCUGAUGCAGCGACGCCGCGUGAGGGAUGACGGCCUUCGGGUUAUAAACCACUUUCAGUAGGGAAGAAGCGAAAGUGACGGUACCUGCAGAAGAAGCACCGGCUAACUACGUG